GUGCUUACUUCAACAGCACAUAUACAAAAGUUGGAAUGAUACAGAGAUUAGGAAGUUCCCUGUGCAAGGAUGACAUGCAAAUUCACAAAGUAUUCCAUAUAAAA